rnacentral:tRNA from 1 species
GCUAGGGUGGCAGAGCUUGGUAAUUGCAAAAGGCCUAAGCCCUUUUAACAGAGGUUCAAGUCCUCUCCCUAGUU